AACAACCCUUCGGGUGCGUUAAUGGGCGUCGAGCGGCGGACGGGUGAGUAAUGCCUGGGAAAUUGCCUUGAUGUGGGGGAUAACCAUUGGAAACGAUGGCUAAUACCGCAUAAUGCCUACGGGCCAAAGGGGGGGAUCUUCGGACCUCUCGCGUCAAGAUAUGCCUAGGUGGGAUUAGCUAGUUGGUGAGGUAAUGGCUCACCAAGGCGACGAUCCCUAGCUGGUCUGAGAGGACGAUCAGCCACACUGGAACUGAGACACGGUCCAGACUCCUACGGGAGGCAGCAGUGGGGAAUAUUGCACAAUGGGCGAAAGCCUGAUGCAGCCAUGCCGCGUGUAUGAAGAAGGCCUUCGGGUUGUAAAGUACUUUCAGUUGUGAGGAAGGGGGUAACGUUAAUAGCGUUAUCUCUUGACGUUAGCAACAGAAGAAGCACCGGCUAACUCCGUGCCAGCAGCCGCGGUAAUACGGAGGGUGCGAGCGUUAAUCGGAAUUACUGGGCGUAAAGCGCAUGCAGGUGGUUCAUUAAGUCAGAUGUGAAAGCCCGGGGCUCAACCUCGGAACUGCAUUUGAAACUGGUGAACUAGAGUGCUGUAGAGGGGGGUAGAAUUUC
rnacentral:rRNA from 1 species